AUUGAACGCUGGCGGCAUGCCUUACACAUGCAAGUCGAACGGCAGCACGGGAGCAAUCCUGGUGGCGAGUGGCGAACGGGUGAGUAAAGUAUUGGAACGUGCCCAGUCGUGGGGGAUAACGUAGCGAAAGUUACGCUAAUACCGCAUACGAUCUAUGGAUGAAAGCGGGGGAUCGCAAGACCUCGCGCGAUUGGAGCGGCCGAUAUCAGAUUAGGUAGGUGGUGGGGUAAAGGCUCACCAAGCCGACGAUCUGUAGCUGGUCUGAGAGGACGACCAGCCACACUGGGACUGAGACACGGCCCAGACUCCUACGGGAGGCAGCAGUGGGGAAUUUUGGACAAUGGGCGAAAGCCUGAUCCAGCCAUGCCGCGUGCAGGAUGAAGGCCUUCGGGUUGUAAACUGCUUUUGUACGGAACGAAAAGGUUUGGCCUAAUAAGCUGAGCUCAUGACGGUACCGUAAGAAUAAGCACCGGCUAACUACGUGCCAGCCGCCGCUGUAA
rnacentral:rRNA from 1 species